rnacentral:rRNA from 1 species
UGCAAGUCGAGCGAACAGAUAAGGAGCUUGCUCCUUUGACGUUAGCGGCGGACGGGUGAGUAACACGUGGGUAACCUACCUAUAAGACUGGAAUAACUCCGGGAAACCGGGGCUAAUGCCGGAUAACAUUUAGAACCGCAUGGUUCUAAAGUGAAAGAUGGUUUUGCUAUCACUUAUAGAUGGACCCGCGCCGUAUUAGCUAGUUGGUAAGGUAACGGCUUACCAAGGCAACGAUACGUAGCCGACCUGAGAGGGUGAUCGGCCACACUGGAACUGAGACACGGUCCAGACUCCUACGGGAGGCAGCAGUAGGGAAUCUUCCGCAAUGGGCGAAAGCCUGACGGAGCAACGCCGCGUGAGUGAUGAAGGUCUUCGGAUCGUAAAACUCUGUUAUUAGGGAAGAACAAAUGUGUAAGUAACUAUGCACGUCUUGACGGUACCUAAUCAGAAAGCCACGGCUAACUACGUGCCAGCAGCCGCGGUAAUACGUAGGUGGCAAGCGUUAUCCGGAAUUAUUGGGCGUAAAGCGCGCGUAGGCGGUUUCUUAAGUCUGAUGUGAAAGCCCACGGCUCAACCGUGGAGGGUCAUUGGAAACUGGGAAACUUGAGUGCAGAAGAGGAAAGUGGAAUUCCAUGUGUAGCGGUGAAAUGCGCAGAGAUAUGGAGGAACACCAGUGGCGAAGGCGACUUUCUGGUCUGUAACUGACGCUGAUGUGCGAAAGCGUGGGGAUCAAACAGGAUUAGAUACCCUGGUAGUCCACGCCGUAAACGAUGAGUGCUAAGUGUUAAGGGGUUUCCGCCCCUUAGUGCUGCAGCUAACGCAUUAAGCACUCCGCCUGGGGAGUACGACCGCAAGGUUGAAACUCAAAGGAAUUGACGGGGACCGCACAAGCGGUGGAGCAUGUGGUUUAAUUCGAAGCAACGCGAAGAACUUACCAAUCUUGACAUCCUUUGACACUCUAGAGAUAGAGC